AUUGAACGCUGGCGGCAUGCCUUACACAUGCAAGUCGAACGGCAGCACGGGUGCUUGCACCUGGUGGCGAGUGGCGAACGGGUGAGUAAUGUAUCGGAACGUACCUUUCAGUGGGGGAUAACUAUCCGAAAGGAUAGCUAAUACCGCAUAUUCUGUGAGCAGGAAAGCAGGGGAUCGCAAGACCUUGCGCUGAUUGAGCGGCCGAUAUCAGAUUAGCUAGUUGGUGGGGUAAAGGCCUACCAAGGCUACGAUCUGUAGCGGGUCUGAGAGGAUGAUCCGCCACACUGGAACUGAGACACGGUCCAGACUCCUACGGGAGGCAGCAGUGGGGAAUUUUGGACAAUGGGGGCAACCCUGAUCCAGCCACGCCGCGUGAGUGAAGAAGGCCUUCGGGUUGUAAAGCUCUUUCGGACGGGAAGAAAUCGCAUCGGCUAAUACCUGGUGCGGAUGACGGUACCGUAAUAAGAAGCACCGGCUAACUACGUGCCAGCAGCCGCCGUAA
rnacentral:rRNA from 1 species